rnacentral:rRNA from 1 species
AUUGAACGCUGGCGGCAUGCCUUACACAUGCAAGUCGAACGGCAGCACGGGAGCAAUCCUGGUGGCGAGUGGCGAACGGGUGAGUAAUAUAUCGGAACGUGCCCAGUCGUGGGGAUAACGUAGCGAAAGCUACGCUAAUACCGCAUACGAUCAUGGAUGAAAGCGGGGGAUCGCAAGACCUCGCGCGAUUGGAGCGGCCGAUAUCAGAUUAGGUAGUUGGUGAGGUAAAGGCUCACCAAGCCGACGAUCUGUAGCUGGUCUGAGAGGACGACCAGCCACACUGGGACUGAGACACGGCCCAGACUCCUACGGGAGGCAGCAGUGGGGAAUUUUGGACAAUGGGCGAAAGCCUGAUCCAGCCAUUCCGCGUGAGUGAAGAAGGCCUUCGGGUUGG